GAUGAACGCUGGCGGCGUGCCUAAUACAUGCAAGUCGAGCGAACAGACGAGGAGCUUGCUCCUCUGACGUUAGCGGCGGACGGGUGAGUAACACGUGGAUAACCUACCUAUAAGACUGGAUAACUUCGGGAAACCGGAGCUAAUACCGGAUAAUAUAUUGAACCGCAUGGUUCAAUAGUGAAAGACGGUUUUGCUGUCACUUAUAGAUGGAUCCGCGCCGCAUUAGCUAGUUGGUAAGGUAACGGCUUACCAAGGCAACGAUGCGUAGCCGACCUGAGGGGGUGAUCGGCCACACUGGAACUGAGACACGGUCCAGACUCCUACGGGAGGCAGCAGUAGGGAAUCUUCCGCAAUGGGCGAAAGCUUGACGGAGCAACGCCGCGUGAGUGAUGAAGGUCUUCGGAUCGUAAAACUCUGUUAUUAGGGAAGAACAAAUGUGUAAGUAACUAUGCACGUCUUGACGGUACCUAAUCAGAAAGCCACGGCUAACUACGUG
rnacentral:rRNA from 1 species